UACGUAGGGUGCGAGCGUUGUCCGGAAUUAUUGGGCGUAAAGAGCUUGUAGGCGGUUUGUCGCGUCUGCUGUGAAAAUCCGGGGCUCAACCCCGGACUUGCAGUGGGUACGGGCAGACUAGAGUGCGGUAGGGGAGAUUGGAAUUCCUGGUGUAGCGGUGAAAUGCGCAGAUAUCAGGAGGAACACCGGUGGCGAAGGCGGUUCUCUGGGCAGUAGCUGACGCUGAUGCGCGACAGCGUGGGGAGCAAACAGG
rnacentral:rRNA from 1 species